GACGAACCGUCCAAACGUUAUUCGGAAUCACUGGGCUUACAGAGUUCGUAGGCGGUCUGGAAAGUUGGGUGUGAAAUCCCUCGGCCUAACCGAGGAACUGCGCUUGAAACUACCAGACUCGAGGGAGAUAGAGGAAAGCGGAACUGAUGGUGGAGCGGUGAAAUGCGUUGAUAUCAUCAGGAACACCGGUGGCGAAGGCGGCUUUCUGGGUCUUACCUGACGCUGAGGCACGAAAGCGUGGGGAGCAAACAGG
rnacentral:rRNA from 1 species